CUCUCCUCCCGUUCAUUCACAUCCAACAUGGCUUACACACUCACACCGACUGACUGGCUGGCUGGCUCACACACUACCCUUCUGAAGCUGGUACAAGCUUGGAGCACAGUCACAGCAAUAUGGUGCUCCAAAAUGCAUAUCCUCCUUUUUCCAAAUACGAUUUGAAUGCACAAAAGAAAACUGCUCUCCCUCCCAUCCUCUUUCCCCUCUCUGGGUGUCAGCGGCCUCCCUCCAGCCUCGUGCUCCAUCGCCAGGAUUUGCUGCCGCUUUUCUAUCGUUGCUCUGACGCCCUCACACGCCUCAGUCAGCCAGUGUGAUUACUGUGGAAUGUAGGUUAUUGUGGCUCAGGCUGGCGCUGUUAACAGGAUUUGGAAUGGGUGCGUGUCGGGGGAGCAUGAGGACGUCUAGACAAGUUGUGACUAGGCAGUGUGUGAAACAGUGUGACAGGUAUUACUCCGUUUACCCAUUCAGUAAUGAUAGUGUAGAUGUAAUGAUACCCUUUUCAGCCAAGUAGGGGGAUGCUUUCCUUUUCUUGGCCACCCAUCACAGAGAGGUCUGAGGUCAAAGUGACAUCUGGAUCUGUCAGCUACUUGCACAAGGUCACUUCACUGGGGUAUAGAACUUGAUUUCCUCCAGUUGGAUCUAGGUCUUUCUUCUCUGAAACUGAAAUUGAAAUAGUGUAUUGUUACAAUGCUCCUCACUGGGAAAUUAACACUCCUUAGCCUAUUACUGUUUCAAUUUCAGUGAUUGUAAAACAAUUACCAGUAAUUCAAUCUUCUUAUCAUCCUCUCUAAGUGUGAGAGUGAAGUUCAGUUCGGCAAAACUGCAGUAUACAUAAAGUAGUUCAUCGUGCUAGAACAUGCAUUGGUGAUCAAAGUUGUUUGUUUUCUCCAGCAUAGCAACUGAGGAAUCCCACAUUCUUCAGGCAAAAGUAAAGCAAUGUAACAAGCACAAUGACUAAACAUCGCACACACAACAGACAAGAAUAUACAGGAGGCAGAGGGGAUUACACAGCAUAUUUCACAUCAAAAAUAUUCCCACUACACAUUGCAGAAUAUGAAAAUUACUUUAAUCCUUGUAUGCCCUUGAAAGUCUUUGAGAUAUUAAUAGCCUUGGGUCUAUCAGGGUGAGUAAAAUCCAGACAGCAGUGAAUCCACCAGGGGAAAUUUUCUGGCAUGAAAGUAAUUCUGACUCCUAUUCUGGAAGACGGAUGGUAAUUACCCCGAAUGGGAACUCUAAUAAAAUGAGAAUGUGAAAAUUUGAAGAGUCUCUGUCCCUUCAGAAAUUUGUUGAGAUAUAGAUAGACCCCAAAGUACAUUGAAUCUCAUUGUAGUUUUGAAGAACUUGGUUGAUCUAUUAGUAGAGACCCCAAGAGAAACUGAUGGCAAAGCCUUUAAAUCUUUGAAAAUAUACAGGAAUGAGGCGAAAUGCCUUCAGCACUCAAUAUAUUUAUUGGCAUUUGGAAAGACUAGCUACAGAUUACGUCACAGAUCUUGAGACCUUGAAGAAUCCCCAAUGUACCCUUGAAAACUCUUGAAUUAUAAAUAGCUCUGCCUGUCAAAUCAAAUAAAAAUCUGACAUAAAUCGACAGGGGCAGAUCCCUGCUUGUCUGUGUUGCUCUUAUUAAGUAAACAAAAUGAUUCAGAAUGUUUAAUAGAUAAACAAAUAAAUAUUAGACUUUUUAUUUUAUUUCCUUUCCUUUUUUACUUACAUUAUAAUGCCAGACCAAUAGGAUUUUACACUCAGGAUGUAACUGUUUCAUGUCCACCUUCAUCUUUUAUUCUGAGCAACUGGUCAGAUUAAUUAGGUUGAGUACAAAGUCUAAUAGACAGAGUGUUGAGUGACGGCGAGGAGGGAGCGCUGUGCCACUUACAGCUAUUUAUAAUGGAUCAGAGAGGCUGGAUGGACUAUAAACACUAAACGAAAGUGACUGACAGACAGUUACUACAGCACCCUGUGGGGCUCUGACAUCAGAGAGAGAGAGAGAGAGAGAGAGAGAGAGAGAGAGGAUGAUGGGAGAAGAGGAGGACAGACUGGGAAAAGAAGGUAGCUGAAAAAUCAUCACUGCCAUCAACUUCCAUUGUAGCCGCCACUGGAAAUACCCCAAUCAGAUUGUCAUCUAUUUUGACUAAACAGCCAUCUAAAAAUGCACCAUUAAACGAUGCAAGGUACAUUGUGUGUACCUCCUUUUUAAUGGAAAAUGAAAUGAUAUGGGACCAGCUGGUUCAUUCAGGACCACGGACAGCUACCUGUUGCAAAGACUUUACAACUGUGGGUUUUGCAAAGUGAAAAGUAGAAUGAUGGUGUCUGAACUUUUAUAACCCUCACUUGACUUUGUCUUCCCUUUAAAUGAGAGUCAGUAUAUACACAGUAUCUGUUCAGAAAUGUGAAAAACACACCCGCUUAUGGCAGGAUGUCUCGGUAUAUUGGCAGCACCUAAAAAACGAUCCCUCUGACACAAUUAAUUUCAUGAUUCGGUGUGCAGCCUCUAAUACCACUUGCCGUGGAGUCAGAAAUGAGAAGACCUAAUUCAAAUGAGAAAAUCUUAUUCCCUGUUUAGCUGAGGUAAUGUGGGUCAGGAACAGCUGGAUCCUGCUGCUGAUCCACUCUGCUGCCGUCUGCUCUGCAAUCCAUUAAUAGCAGCGUUUAUGCACACAUGAACAUAAUAUCUAAUAUUGUUAAACAGGCAAACGCAAAAAACAAACCUGCAUUCAUGCAGCUUCGUUUUUUGACAAGCCUGAAAUGACCAGAUGUUUUGCUAACUUCUAU